UACAGAGGAGCCAAGCGUUGUCCGGAUUGACUGGGCGUAAAGCGCACGCAGGCGGACGCGCGCGUGGGGUGUGAAAUCUGGCCGCUUAACGGCCAGGCGCCAUCCCAUACGGCGGGUCUGGAGUGAUGCAGAGGGCGGUGGAAUUGCCGGUGUAGUGGUGAAAUGCGCAGAUAUCGGGAGGAACACCAGCGGCGAAGGCGGCACUCUGGGCUGGUACUGACGCUGAGGAGCGAAAGCGUGGGUAGCAAACAGG
rnacentral:rRNA from 1 species